rnacentral:rRNA from 1 species
CCUACGGGUGGCAGCAGUGAGGAAUAUUGGUCAAUGGCCGGAAGGCUGAACCAGCCAUGCCGCGUGAAGGUCAGUGCCCUAUGGGCGUUAAACUUCUUUUGUGCGGGAGCAAUAAUGGUCACGUGUGGCCAGACGAGAGUACCGUACGAAUAAGCAUCGGCUAACUCCGUGCCAGCAGCCGCGGUAAAACGGGGGAUGCAAGCGUUAUCCGGAUUUAUUGGGUUUAAAGGGUGCGUAGGCUGUGAGGUAAGGCAGCGGUGAAAUGCCCCCGCUCAACGGGGUGAAGUGCCAUUGAUACUGCCUUGCUGGAGUGCGGAUGCCGUGGGAGGAAUGUGUGGUGUAGCGGUGAAAUGCAUAGAUAUCACACAGAACACCGAUUGCGAAGGCAGCUCACGAAUCCGCGAUUGACGCUGAUGCACGAAAGCGUGGGUAUCAAACAGGAUUAGAUACCCUUGUAGUC